GUGUCAGCCGCCGCGGUAAUACGUAGGGACCAAGCGUUGUUCGGAUUUACUGGGCGUAAAGGGCGCGUAGGCGGUGCGGUAAGUCACUUGUGAAAUCUCUGAGCUUAACUCAGAACGGCCAAGUGAUACUGCAGUACUAGAGUGCAGAAGGGGCAAUCAGAAUUCUUGGUGUAGCGGUGAAAUGCGUAGAUAUCAAGAGGAAUACCUGAGGUGAAGACGGGUUGCUAGGCUGACACUGACGCUGAGGCGCGAAAGCCAGGGGAGCAAACGGGAUUAGAAACCCUCGUAGUCC
rnacentral:rRNA from 1 species